CGCCCGGUAACAUUCCGAACCCGGAAGCUAAGCCCUCCAGCGCCGAUGGUACUGCACUCGGGAGGGUGUGGGAGAGUAGGACACCGCCGGAC
rfam:Micromonospora avicenniae strain DSM 45758 genome assembly, contig: Ga0111705_118